UUACGGCUAUAUCAAAUUGAAACACUGGUUCUCGUGGGAUCACCGAAGUUAAGCAACGUCGAGCCUAGUCAUUACCCAGAUGAGUGAUCGCUUGGGAAUCCCUAGGUGUUGUAA